GACGAACGCUGGCGGCGUGCCUAAUACAUGCAAGUCGAACGCUUCUUUCCUCCCGAGUGCUUGCACUCAAUUGGAAAGAGGAGUGGCGGACGGGUGAGUAACACGUGGGUAACCUACCCAUCAGAGGGGGAUAACACUUGGAAACAGGUGCUAAUACCGCAUAACAGUUUAUGCCGCAUGGCAUAAGAGUGAAAGGCGCUUUCGGGUGUCGCUGAUGGAUGGACCCGCGGUGCAUUAGCUAGUUGGUGAGGUAACGGCUCACCAAGGCCACGAUGCAUAGCCGACCUGAGAGGGUGAUCGGCCACACUGGGACUGAGACACGGCCCAGACUCCUACGGGAGGCAGCAGUAGGGAAUCUUCGGCAAUGGACGAAAGUCUGACCGAGCAACGCCGCGUGAGUGAAGAAGGUUUUCGGAUCGUAAAACUCUGUUGUUAGAGAAGAACAAGGACGUUAGUAACUGAACGUCCCCUGACGGUAUCUAACCAGAAAGCCACGGCUAACUACGUGCCAGCAGCCGCGGUAAUACGUAGGUGGCAAGCGUUGUCCGGCUUUAUUGGGCGUAAAGCGAGCGCUGGCGGUUUCUUAAGUCUGAUGUGAAAGCCCCCGGCUCAACCGGGGAGGGUCAUUGGAAACUGGGAGACUUGAGUGCAGAAGAGGAGAGUGGAAUUCCAUGUGUAGCGGUGAAAUGCGUAGAUAUAUGGAGGAACACCAGUGGCGAAGGCGGCUCUCUGGUCUGUAACUGACGCUGAGGCUCGAAAGCGUGGGGAGCAAACAGGAUUAGAUACCCUGGUAGUCCACGCCGUAAACGAUGAGUGCUAAGUGUUGGAGGGUUUCCGCCUUUCAGUGCUGCAGCAAACGCAUUAAGCACUCCGCCUGGGGAGUACGACCGCAGGGUGAAACUCAAAGGAAUUGACGGGGGCCCGCCACAGGCGGUGGAGCAUGUGGUAUAUUUAGAAGCACGAGAAGACCUUUCACCAGGUCUCGACAUCUUUUGACUACUCUAGAGAUAGAGCUUCCCUUCGGGGAACAAAGUGACAGGUGUGCAUGGUGUUGUCAGCUCGUGUCGUGAGAUGUUGGUUAAAGUCGCGCAACGAGCGCACCCUUUAUUGUUAGUGCCCAUCAUUAAGUUGGGCACUCUAGCGAGACUGCGGGUGACAACCCGGAGGAAGGUGGGGAUGACGUCAAUUCAUCAUGCCCCUUAUGACCUGGGCUACACACGUGCUACAAUGGGAAGUACAACGAGUCGCUAGACCGCGAGGUCAUGCAAAUCUCUUAAAGCUUCUCUCAGUUCGGAUUGCAGGCUGCAACUCGCCUGCAUGAAGCCGGAAUCGCUAGUAAUCGCGGAUCAGCACGCCGCGGUGAAUACGUUCCCGGGCCUUGUACACACCGCCCGUCACACCACGAGAGUUUGUAACACCCGAAGUCGGUGAGGUAACCUUUUUGGAGCCAGCCGCCUAAGGUGGGAUAGAUGAUUGGGGU
rnacentral:rRNA from 1 species